rnacentral:ncRNA from 1 species
UACCCCCUUUAUUUUCUGUAUUCUUUGGCUCCAGACCAGCUGCUACUGAAGGCUAAGGGGCAGGGCCUUUGGGCAUGCAGCUUUUUUUCUGAGGCCCUGUAAUUGGAAUGAGUCCACUAUAAAUCCUUUAACUAGGAUCCAUUGGAGGGCAAAUCUGGUGGCAGCAGCUGUGAUAAUUCCAGCUUCAAUUGCAUAUAUUAAUGUUGCUGCAGUUAAAAAGCUCAUAGUUGGACCUUGGGAGCGGGUGGGCAGUCCACUGCGAGGUGAGUCACUCCCCGUUCCCGCCCCUUGCCUCUUGGUGCCCCCUCGAUGCUCUUAGCUGAGUGUCCCGGCGCUCAAAGCAUUUACUUUGAAAAAAUUAGAGUGUUCAAAGCAAGCCCUAGCCUCCUGGAUACCACAGCUAGGAAUACCGAGAAGGACAAGGGCAAAUGCCCCCCCCACACACACACACAGGUGUCCUGUGGGUGUGGGGCCUGGGACCGCAG